rnacentral:rRNA from 1 species
GACGAACGCUGGCGGCGUGCUUAACACAUGCAAGUCGAACGGAAAGGCCCCUUUUGGGGUACUCGAGUGGCGAACGGGUGGGUAACACGUGAGUAACCUGCCCUUGACUUCGGGAGAACUUCAGGAAACUGGGGCUAAUACCGGAUAGGAAUCCUUGCUGCAUGGUGGGGGUUGGACAGCUUGGUCGGUUUGGGAUGGACUCGCGGCUUGUCAGUUUGUUGGUGGGGGAGUGGCUUGCCAAGGCUUUGACGGGGAGCCGGCCUGAGAGGGGGACCGGCCAACUUGGGACUGAGAAACGGGCCAGGCUCCUACGGGAGGCAGGAGGGGGGAAUAUUUGCCCAUGGGCGGAAGCCUGAUGCAGCAACGCCGCGUGCGGGAUGACGGCCUUCCGGUUGUAAACCGCCUUCAGCAGGGGAGAAGCUUGUGGUGACGGUACCUGCAGAAGAAGCACCGGCUAACUACGUG